UACGGGGGGGGCGAGCGUUGUUCGGAAUUACUGGGCGUAAAGGGUUUGUAGGUGGUCUGCUAAGUCAGACGUGAAAUCCCUCAGCUUAACUGGGGAACUGCGUCUGAUACUGGCGGACUUGAGGACAGGUGAGGAACGCGGAAUUCCAGGUGUAGCGGUGAAAUGCGUAGAUAUCUGGAGGAACACCGGUGGCGAAGGCGGGUCUCUGGACAGUUCCUGACGCUGAGGCACGAAGGCCAGGGGAGCAAACGGG
rnacentral:rRNA from 1 species